UUUAUAUAAUAUAUAAAAUUAUAUUUGACUUCCAAUCAAAAAAACUAAAACUCUUAGUAUAAAUAA
rnacentral:tRNA from 1 species